GGCCACAUUACAUUGAAACAUUGGUUCCCAUAUGAUCACUGAAGUUAAGCAACAUCAAGCCUGGUUAGUACUUGGAUGGGUGAGUGCUUGGAAAUACCACAUACUGUAAG